rnacentral:lncRNA from 1 species
CAAAAUCCAGAUUCCACGUUGUAAAGCCCCCCGUCUCCACCAUAAGAGAGGUUCGGGACCUGAAAACGGCCCCAGGGCAAAAAGUCAUACCUUGAUAAGCAAAUACAAAAUUUUCUGCGUACAUGUUUUAUUGUACAGGCAUCUUCACAAAACAUUGGAAAUAGAAUGAAAUAUGUUUGAUUGGGUAAAACCAAAAGACACAUUUGUUAUCUAGGGAUAAUGGCUAUCAGACUAACCCUGCAAGUCCCAUCAGGCAAUCAAUAUAUAUUUCUACUUUUCCUUCCUUUCAUAUUUUCAGUUUAUAGUAGCAAUAAAUACAUUGAUGCGUGAAAUUUACUGGAGUAUAAUGACCAGCUGGCAUUUGUGACCAGCAGCUGAACUGUGCAACCUCAUCCCUUCCCCACUGUCAUCAACUCAGAUAAUGUUGCGAGGCUCGGUUACUAGUCCCCAAAUGACAUUUAAUUAUCGUUCUAAUUGGAGGUCUCAUGGCUAUUCUUCUAAAUUGAGGUACGCUCAGUGAAGUCUUUGUAAAAUGAUUCGAAAUCCACUAAGCAGUUGAAGAAUAUUGUAUUCAUCCUUUUGAUUUAGCUCAGAAAUUGCUUAGCUUACAUCUCUCUUUCCCAACACUUUUCCUUCAAAAUUAGGAAAUAACUGAACUAUGUUCUUCACUGCAGAACCCAAACUGCAUCAGAAUACAAAAUCUUCUAAAAGGUAUUUUCUACAGAGAUAAUCUAGUGCACACCCAGCAUAGGCACGACGGAUGUUGCUAUUUGUUCUGAAUCCUGUCUUGGAUGCUGUCAAGGCACGAGAGUGAAGAGUCUGACAUAUGGCUAUGAAGCACAUCAAAAGAAUUGUUGGAUGUUAUGUAUUUAUUAUUGCUAAUCAGAUUAUAGCUUACUUUCUUUUCUAUUAUUCAUUUUUUCCAUUCAUUCUUUUUUAUUUUUCCCAAAACUCCUAGUACAUAGUUGCAUAUCCUAGUUGUAAGUUCUUCUAGUUCUUCCAUGUGGGACACCACCACAGCAUGGAUUGAUGAGCAGUGUGUAGGUCUGCACCCAGGAUCCGAACCAGCGAACCCCGGGCUGCCAAAGCAGAGUGCACGAACCUAACCACCAUGCCACCAGGCUGGCGCUCAUUCAUUCUUUUAAAUAACUACUUCUUAAGGGUCGUGAUGAUCAUUUUUUUCUCUAAUAGAAUUGUUCUUCUGUGAUUGUUCUGUGUUAUUCACAUUUUGUGCUCUUUUAAAUGAAAGUUUAUAAUAUAAAAAUUGACCACCAAGGGUCUUAUUUAUCAUUUCACAUUUCAGCUUCAGAAACACCAAAUUAUUUAUAUAGAAUGAUACAUUUUCAACUAUAUUUUUUUCUCUAUAAGCUCCAUGAAAAAAAAAAAGACAUUAUCUAUCUUUUUACCUAUUAAAUCCUUACCGUCUAACACAGGUCUGGCACUUAGUAAUCACUCGAAUACUUGCUGAAUGACAUUUGGCUGAAUGCAUACAGAUUUCAUAUUUUAUGACUAUAUUGGCCUGUUAUAUAUUUGUUUAUGGUGUCAUAUCAGUCAGAAUAAUCAGUGUCAGUUUUUAAAUCAUUUCUUAUUUAUAUAUUAUAUUUGUUCUAGUGUAUAUGGAUUUUAAGAUAAGUGAAGGCCAAUGUAGGAAAUAAAAUGAUUCUACACAAAAUAUCGUGAAAUAAAAAGAACCUGGUUUCCUGGGUGGGGGAUCCACACUUCAAAGAAUGGGCCUUCACAUUAAAUAAGAAUAUUUUGUAUCUGCCGACUACCUUUUACCUUAUUCUUUCCAAAACAUUCAAAGAAUUUUUUCACCACUUACUCUGAUGAUGGGCAAGUCUCGGUUUUCUCAACUUGUAAAGUGGGGCUAAUAGUUGUAUCUGUUCUACGGGGUUGUUGAAAAGAUAAAGUGAAAUCAGCCAUCCGGUUCUUUCCUCCUGGGCCAGGAGCACUUAAGAACAGAGGCAAGGCAGAGCCCUAAAAUUACAUUUUCAGUAUUUGUGCCAGGAAUUCUUCUGGAGACUUUACCUUCAAUGACACGUUCAUUUUCUUUUCUGGAACAACACAAAGAAAUUCACUCUUGCUUUCAUUUAAGAAAUCUCCAGCUAUCAUAAUCCUCGCAGGUGUUCUUAGAUCUAGGAACCUGAAUAUCUUUCAUACAACACGGUCUCUACAAAUUACUCUCGAAUUUGUCAGGACUGCAGAAAGAAUUAAUAUAAACUUUAACAACCUAGUUUUAACCCUAAAUGGAGCAUCUGCAAUUAUGACAACAUGUAUUUGACUAUGUUUUUCUGAUCAUGAAAAACUUCAGAUUCUGCCAAUGGUUUCUGGAUAAAUACUGAAUCCAUUUGUAGACAUUCAUAAAAGUUCUUUACAGAGUUUUGCAUCCAUCUUUAUUUUUUACAUAAUGAAUGUUUCUGAUUCAUUAUGGCAAAAAUCUGAAUGAGCCCUUUUAUGAUAAGAAAAACUCUUCAAAGUCUAUUUUAUUCUGUCUUGCUUAGAUCACAUCUGUAUUAACUCAUAAAGAUCACGAGAGAAAGAUUCAAGAUGGUGCAG